rnacentral:rRNA from 1 species
AGUGAACGCCGGCGGUAGGCCUAACACAUGCAAGUCGAACGGCAGCAUUGAGGAGCUUGCUCCUUGGGUGGCGAGUGGCGGACGGGUGAGGAAUACAUCGGAAUCUACUCUGUCGUGGGGGAUAACGUAGGGAAACUUACGCUAAUACCGCAUACGACCUACGGGUGAAAGCAGGGGAUCUUCGGACCUUGCGCGAUUGAAUGAGCCGAUGUCGGAUUAGCUAGUUGGCGGGGUAAAGGCCCACCAAGGCGACGAUCCGUAGCUGGUCUGAGAGGAUGAUCAGCCACACUGGAACUGAGACACGGUCCAGACUCCUACGGGAGGCAGCAGUGGGGAAUAGUGGACAAUGGGCGCAAGCCUGAUCCAGCCAUACCGCGUGGGUGAAGAAGGCCUUCGGGUUGUAAAGCCCUUUUGUUGGGAAAGAAAUCCAUCGGGUUAAUACCCGGGUGGGAUGACGGUACCCAAAGAAUAAGCACCGGCUAACUUCGUGCCAGCCGCCGCAGUAA